rnacentral:rRNA from 1 species
AGGGCACUACCAGGGGUGGAGCCUGCGGCUUAAUUUGACUCAACACGGGAAAACUCACCCGGCCCGGACACUGGAAGGAUUGACAGAUUGAGAGCUCUUUCUUGAUUCAGUGGGUGGUGGUGCAUGGCCGUUCUUAGUUGGUGGAGUGAUUUGUCUGGUUAAUUCCGAUAACGAACGAGACUCUAGCCUACUAAAUAGAUCGUCGGCUUACAAACGCCGGCGAGACUUCUUAGAGGGACAGGCGGUGAUUCAACCGCACGAAACAGAGCAAUAACAGGUCUGUGAUGCCCUUAGAUGUCCGGGGCCGCACGCGCGCUACACUGAAGUGAUCAGCGUGCUUUUUCAACCUACUCUGUCAAGAGUGGGGAACCCAAUGAACCUUCUUCGUGAUUGGGAUAGGGGAUUGUAAUUAUUCCCCUUGAACGAGGAAUUCCCAGUAAGCGCGAGUCAUAAGCUCGCGUUGAUUACGUCCCUGCCCUUUGUACACACCGCCCGUCGCUACUACCGAUUGAAUGUUUU